rnacentral:rRNA from 1 species
AUUGAACGCUGGCGGCAGGCCUAACACAUGCAAGUCGAGCGAGCGGCGGACGGGUGAGUAAUGUCUGGGAAACUGCCUGAUGGAGGGGGAUAACUACUGGAAACGGUAGCUAAUACCGCAUACCAUCAGAUGUGCCCAGAUGGUAUUAGCUAGUAGGUGGGGUAACGGCUCACCUAGGCGACGAUCCCUAGCUGGUCUGAGAGUAUGACCAGCCACACUGGAACUGAGCAACGGUCCAGACUCCUACGGGUGGCAGGAGUGGGGAAUAUUGCACAAUGGGCGCAAGCCUUAUGCAGCCAUGCCGCGUGUGUGAAGAAGGCCUUCGGGUUGUAAAGCACUUUCAGCGGGGAGGCGUUACCCGAAGAAGAAGCACCGGCUAACUCCGUGCCAGCAGCCGCGGUAAUUC